rnacentral:rRNA from 1 species
AGUGGCGAACGGGUGAGUAACACGUGGGUAACCUGCCCAAGAGACUGGGAUAACACCUGGAAACAGAUGCUAAUACCGGAUAACAACACUAGACGCAUGUCUAGAGUNUAAAAGAUGGUUCUGCUAUCACUCUUGGAUGGACCUGCGGUGCAUUAGCUAGUUGGUAAGGUAACGGCUUACCAAGGCAAUGAUGCAUAGCCGAGUUGAGAGACUGAUCGGCCACAUUGGGACUGAGACACGACCCAAACUCCUACGGGAGGCAGCAGUAGGGAAUCUUCCACAAUGGGCGAAAGCCUGAUGGAGCAACGCCGCGUGGGUGAAGAAGGUCUUCGGAUCGUAAAACCCUGUUGUUAGAGAAGAAAGUGCGUGAGAGUAACUGUUCACGUUUCGACGGUAUCUAACCAGAAAGCCACGGCUAACUACGUGCCGGCAGCCGCGGUAAUACGUAGGUGGCAAGCGUUAUCCGGAUUUAUUGGGCGUAAAGGGAACGCAGGCGGUCUUUUAAGUCUGAUGUGAAAGCCUUCGGCUUAACCGGAGUAGUGCAUUGGAAACUGGGAGACUUGAGUGCAGAAGAGGAGAGUGGAACUCCAUGUGUAGCGGUGAAAUGCGUAGAUAUAUGGAAGAACACCAGUGGCGAAAGCGGCUCUCUGGUCUGUANCUGACGCUNANGUUCGAAAGCGUGGGUAGCAAACAGGAUUAGAUACCCUGGUA